rnacentral:misc_RNA from 1 species
AAGUUUGUGCUUAAGAAGAGUUGCUUCAUAUUCAGCAUUGUCAUUUAGAUGAGUUGCAAUAAUAAGUCCAAAAAGUUCACUCAAGGGUUUUGAUGCUGCUGUGUGACAGAUUUGAGAUCUCUUCAAUUUACCUGCACGUUAUUUUCUUUCUUGAACAAUAUAUUUGUCACGAAUUUUGGAAUCUGAAACCUUUGUACAGUCUAGACUUGAGCUAUUGGU